UGAACGGUUGUCGAAAGGCCAGGCUGAUGUGUGUAAAGACACACAUGGAGAGACAGAAAGGAGGAAAGGAAGGGAGAAGAGUGAGAAGCUGUGGAAAAAGGGUGACGGAGGUGAUUGACAGCAGACAAUUAAUUCAUCCUCUCACCAAGUAGGAUCGCAGAACUUUGUGAGGACUCUCCAUAGACGU